CAGCCGCCAUAAAGCACCAGAAGAAGAAAUAAAACCCAAUGUUGCAUGUUGGGUCUCUUUAUUUGUCGCCGAAUAAAUUGUGCGUCUGAAAUUUUGAGCUGAGCGCGUAGACGCUGGAAAGAAGAGAAAUGACGGUGGUGGCGGACGUUAUUUUCUCCAUCAGUCAAACACCUGAGAAGGACGAUGCUGUUCUCCUUCGGUGCUCCAGAGCCUUCGUGGGGGACAGAGAGCUGUAUCGCUCUGAUAACAGACUCCUUUCAUCUGGCAGAGAAGUCACUGAAGUGCAAG